rnacentral:lncRNA from 1 species
UGAUUAAUAGAAUUUUGAGAGCAUUCACUCAAACUUUUCUCUCAAGUGUUCUUAUUUUUCUGUGGCUUUUGUUCAUCUUUUGAGAUCGUUCUUACUUCGUUCUUCUGCUGUUCUUCGUGGGUUCUUUAGAGGAGUUCCAUUGAAUCCUCAAUUGUUGCGAGAUAGGCUGACUUAGGCGUUUUUGAGCGGAGAAACGCUUAAGGCCGCACGAAUUGCUUGGGAAAACUCUAAGUUCGUGACAGCUGGUAUCCGAGCUAGCGUUCGAAGGCACCGUUGAACGAUGUCGAAAGAAGCUGCUGAGAAUGCUGAUGGAAUGGAGACUCGUGGGAGGGCUAGGAAAGCUAGCCGUUCGAGGGACAUACUGUCGGCUUUGGAAGAUCGAGUCGUCACUCUCGAAGAAUCCGUGAGGGAUGUCAAGGAGAGGGUUGAUGAUAUCGAUGAUAAAGUCAAUGAUGGGUUGCAGUCUAUGCAAGAGCAACUCAAAGAGUAUGUGUUGGAUAAUGUUGAGAAGCUGACGAGUAGGGAUGAUGCCAUCGAGACUAUGAUGGUUGGUAAGACUGAUGCCAUGGAGGCUAUGAUAGCGACCUUGAAAGAAGAGAUUGCGGAGCUCAAGGGUGAACUCACAAUCUACAAGGCUACUUUGGACAAUGGAGGGUUGGCUGCUGUCAUACCCAAGCCCAGCGUGAAUGUUCCCAAGCCAAAGGAGUUUAAGGGAACAAGGUCCGCAAGAGAAAUGGACAAUUUCCUGUGGGGAAUCGAGUAAUACUUUCGUGCCAAGGGCAUUGUUGAUGAUGCCCCUAAGGUAAUUACUGCUGGUAUGUAUCUUACUAACAUUGCCUUAUUGUUGUGGCGUCGUAGGUCCACCAAUGUGAGACGUGGUGGGACAGAAAUUGGAACUUGGAAGGAGUUUCAAUAUGAGUUCAAAGCGUAGUUUUACCCUGAGUAUGCCAAGGAUGAAGCUCGGGCAAAGUUGCGUCGGCUUUCAUAACAAGGCACUGUGAGGGAGUAUAUGCAGGAGUUUAGCGAACUCAUGCUUCAAAUUUCUGAUAUGGGUGAGAAAGAGGCAUUCUUUUCCUUCAUGGAUGGGUUGAAACCAUAGGUGAAGUAAGAGUUGCAACGCCGAGGAGUCCAAGAACUUACCAAUGCCAUGUCUGUAGCAGAAUCGUUGGCUGAAUUUGGGGGGAAGAAAGACAGGCCUGAGUCUUUUAAGCCCAAGUCCCAGUCAAAGGGAAAUAGUUGGGGAGACAAAGAAAGGCCCCAUAGAAAUGACAACGGUAAGAAGCCUUGGGACAAAAGGAAGAGUGGGCCUAUAAGGUGCUUCUAUUGUGAUGGACCACACAUGAUUAAGGAUUGUCCAAAGAAGGCUGCGCUCUCCGCUGUGGAAGCAAAAACGGAGUCCGAUGUGGAGGAUAACAAUCUUGGUUCAAUACUAGGGGGUGUUGAAGACAAGAUGAGUUAUGGACUGAUGUUUGCAGACAUCAUGGUAGCUGGCAAAAAGUUGAAUGCACUUGUCGACACAGGUGCGUCUGAUUUAUUUAUGUCCGAAGGGGCUAUGCAUAAACUUGGCCUCAAGAUUGAAAAUGAUCCGGGUCGAAUUAAGACGGUAAAUUCGAAAAGUGUUCCAAUCAAGGGGGUUGCAAAGGGAGUAAAACUCCAAUUUGGCGAUUGGACUGGUACGGCAUCCAUCAAGGUAAUACCACUUGAUGACUAUGAUUUUGUAGGUGGAUUGAGUUUUCUUGAUUAGGUUAAUGCGACGAUUUUUCCUUCUGGUAAUUUCAUGGUGAUUUCGGAUUCGAACCAUCAAUGUAUGGUGAGAUUGACAAGAAAGGGGAGCCUCGAAGGGAAAACAUUGUCCGCAAUCCAAUUUGCUAAGGGAGUACGUAGAGAUGAAGUCUCUUACUUAGCCACUUUGAAGAUUGAGGAAACCGGUAAGAUCGUGGGUGAGGUCCCUAAGGAAGUGGGCCAAGUAUUACAAUCCUUUCGAGAUGUGAUGCCUGCAAAGUUGCCAAAGAAUUUGCCACCUAAGAGGGAGGUGGAUCAUAGGAUCGAAUUGGUGUCCAACAUGGUACCGCCAGCUAAGGCGCCAUAUCGUAUGUCCCCACCGGAAUUGGAGGAAUUACGGAAACAGUUAAAGGAGAUUUUAGAUGCGAGAUUCAUUAGGCCAUCUAAAUCUCUGUAUGGUGCACAGGUACUAUUUCAAAAGAAACAUGAUGGGUCAUUACGGAUGUGUAUUAAUUAUCGGGCCCUAAACAAGAUCACCGUGAGGAAUAGGUACCCUAUUCCCCUCAUUGCAGACUUGUUCGAUCAGCUUGGUAGUGCGAGAUGGUUUACCAAGUUGGACUUAAGAUCGGGGUACCAUCAAGUUAGGAUAGCCGAAGGAGAUGAGCCAAAGACAGCUUAUGUGACACGGUAUGGCUCGUAUGAGUUUUUGGUGAUGCCAUUCGGACUCACGAAUGCCCCAGCUACAUUCUGCACCUUGAUGAAUAUGGUACUUCAACCUUUCCUUGAUCGUUUCGUGGUUGUUUACCUUGACAAUAUUGUGGUGUACAGUAAAUCAGUCGAUGAACGUGUGGAACAUUUGAGGGAGGUGUUCCAAACUUUGAGGGAAAAUGAGUUAUUCAUCAAAAAGGAGAAAUGCACCUUUGCUCAAUGAGAGGUGCCAUUUCUAGGCCACAUUGUGGGAGGUGGCAAGAUCCGAAUGGAUGAAAGCAAGGUUCGGGCCAUUGCCGAAUGGGAGGCUCCAACCAAGGUGAUAGAGUUGAGAUCUUUCCUUGGGUUGGCAAACUACUAUAGACGCUUUAUCGAAGGCUACUCUAGAAUUACCGCACCCUUGACAGACAUGUUGAAAAAGGGUAAGAUAUGGGAUUGGAACCCACAGUGUGAGAGAGCCUUCAAUCAAUUGAAGCAAGUAAUGACAAGUGAGCCCGUACUUGCAUUACCAGAUUACUUGAAGCCUUAUGAAGUACGCACAGAUGCGUCAGAUUAUGCCAUUGGGGGAGUACUGAUGCAAGAGGGUCAUCCCAUUGCUUUCAAAAGUCGAAAGCUUAAUGAGACGGAGCAGAGAUAUACGGUCCAAGAGAAGGAAAUGACCGCUAUGGUGCAUUGCUUGCGCACAUGGAGGCAUUACGUACUAGGUUCCAGGUUCGUGGUCCAUACCGAUAAUGUUGCCAACAGUUAUUUUCUAACCCAGAAAAAGUUGUCUCCCAAACAGGCUCGUUGGUAGGUUUUUCUAGCGAAGUUCGAUUUCACAAUGGAAUACAAGCCAGGAAGUGCCAACAUGGUGGCUGAUGCACUUAGCCGAAAGAUAGAAUUCGCGGCCAUCAGUCAACCCGACGGGUCCCUAUUGGAACACAUUUGAGAAGGGUUGUCCCAUGAACCCACAGCCAAAAGCUUGGUUGAGCUAGCCAAUGAGGGGAAAAUGAGGAGAUUUUAGCUUGAUGGGGAACUACUAUAUACCCAUGGGCACUGCCUCUAUGUGCCUCAUUAUGGGAAAUUGCGCAAGGAAGUCAUGAAAGAAUGUCGUGACUCACGAUGGGCGGGCCAUCCAGGAAUGCACCAUACCUUGGCCCUUUUAGAGGAUCAAUACUAUUGGCCUCACAUGGGUGAAGAUGUGGAGACCUAUGUGAAGACUUGUCUAGUAUGCCAACAAGACAAGGUUGAGUUAAAGAGUCCCGCCGGCUUGCUACAACCCUUGCCUAUUCCGGAAAGGCCAUGAGAGAGUGUAUUCAUGGACUUUAUUGUGGGUUUGCCUAAGUCUGACGGAUUUGCAAGUAUUCUUGUUGUGGUAGACAGGUUUUCAAAGUAUAUAACGUUUAUUCCUGCUACUAAGGAGUGCCAUGCUGAGGAGGCAACUCGCUUAUUUCUUAGACACGUGGUAAAAUAUUGGGGAGUGCCAUUGUCUAUUAUCAGUGAUCGAGAUGGGAGAUUUACGGGCCGGUUGUGAACAGAGCUGUUCAAGUCAAUGGGCUCGGAAUUAAACUUCUCCACAAGCAUGCAUCCACAAACUGAUGGGCAAACUCUGAAUGCAUUGUUGGAGACAUAUCUUCGACAUUAUAUGAGUGCCAUGCAAAGGGAUUGGCCCAAGUUGUUGGAUGUUGCCCAAUUUUCAUACAACUUGCAGCGAAGUGGGGUAACGAACCAAAGUCUGUUCGAGAUAGUGACGCGCCAACAGCCACUCACACCUAAUGCUGUUGCGACCCGUUAUACAGGCCCAAAUCUUGCUGCGUAUCGAUUUGCGAAGGAUUGGCAAGAAAAGAAUGACUUGGCUAGGGCUUGUUUACACAAAGCAAGUAAGUGCAACAAGAAGUGGGCCAAUCAGAAUCGAAAGGAUGUGCAGUUUCAGGUGGGGGACUCAAUCCUUGCCAAACUACACUUGAUGUUGCGAUAUACGGGUUUGCACAAGGGGCUUGUGCGAAGGUAUGAGGGGCCGUUUAAAGUCUUGAAGAGGGUAGGCAAGGUGGCCUACAAACUUGAGUUGCCAGCAAAGCUGAAGCUCUACCCAGUGUUCCAUGUAAGUAUGCUCAAGCCAUACCAUGGGGAUCAAGAGGAUCCAAAUCGAGGCAAGUCAGAACGAGCACCAAUGUGGGUAAAGGUCUCUUAUGACCUAGAAGUUGAAAACAUUAAGGCAGAUCGUGUGGUGAGACGAAGGUAUCAUCGGCCACGACAUGAAUACUUGGUACGAUGGAAAGGACUACUUGAUAGCGAAGUAAGUUGGGAACCUGCCGAGGCAUUGUGGCAAUUCCAAGAGAAGAUAGCCCAGUUCCAAGAGACGGGCGCGACGAGAGCGUCGCUAGAACAAGUGGGGGAGAAUGUCAUGGGUUGCGAAGGGAAACUUGCAACUAUGACGGACUUGUGCGAUUUAUCGCUUUUGAGGGAGGUCAUUUGGCCCAAUCAGACUGGUCUAGUGCUUGGAGAGAUUGAAAGCCCAUCUCUAGAGCUUGGCAAAUAUGGAAAGUAAUCUUCAAAGAUAUGCUUGGCAAAUAUGGAAGGGGAUCUUUAAA